UAGGGAAUCUUCGGCAAUGGGCGAAAGCCUGACCGAGCAACGCCGCGUGAAUGAUGAAGGCCUUCGGGUUGUAAAAUUCUGUUAUAAGGGAAGAACGACUUUAGUAGGAAAUGGCUAGAGUGUGACGGUACCUUAUGAGAAAGCCACGGCUAACUACGUGCCAGCAGCCGCGGUAAUACGUAGGUGGCGAGCGUUAUCCGGAAUUAUUGGGCGUAAAGAGCGCGCAGGUGGUUGAUUAAGUCUGAUGUGAAAGCCCACGGCUUAACCGUGGAGGGUCAUUGGAAACUGGUCGACUUGAGUGCAGAAGAGGGAAGUGGAAUUCCAUGUGUAGCGGUGAAAUGCGUAGAGAUAUGGAGGAACACCAGUGGCGAAGGCGGCUUCCUGGUCUGUAACUGACACUGAGGCGCGAAAGCGUGGGGAGCAAACAGGA
rnacentral:rRNA from 1 species